UUGAGAUGGCGGCGUGUCUGGCGGCAAGAGAGUGUAACUUUCAUGUGCAUGUGAACUUACGCUGUAGGAAUAGUGUGUUCAUCAUCUAUUGAAGGACCUAGAAGUCACGGAUUAUCUGAAAACCAAGCCAACACUCCAGAAGGCAAGGAUCGAUACCCGCCUGACAGCAGCAGCGAGACAUGAUAGGCACUAUAGGAGUAUAGCUAAAGCUCUAGUAUCUAAUUGGGACUAGAACACAGCUCCUUGUCUCCUCACCUGCUGAGUACAUCUAUUCUACACACAAUUAGCAGG